rnacentral:rRNA from 1 species
GCAGUCUGCAACUCGAGUGCAUGAAGCUGGAAUCGCUAGUAAUCGCGGAUCAGAAUGCCGCGGUGAAUACGUUCCCGGGUCUUGUACACACCGCCCGUCACACCAUGGGAGCCGACAACGCCCGAAGUCAGUGACCUAACCGAGAGGGAGGAGCUGCCGAAGGCGGGGUGGAUAACUGGGGUGAAGUCGUAACAAGGUAUC